UGCCAUGAGUUUACUUAUAUAGUCCUAUGGAGAGCCCACAUGGCAAGGCACUGAGGCUUUCUGCGAACAAUCAGUUCCAUGUGUCUCAGCCAUGAAUCUAGGAGUGAGAAAAGAAAGCUUCCCUCCCCUACAAGGUCAAGGUUCAAGUAUGGGUCCUGGCAGGACCCAUUUGGACCUGCUGGAAAACUCUCACGCUAAAAACAGAAAAGAUUUAGGACAGAUAAAAAGAAUGCAUAACAUAUAAGAAGACUGGCAUAAAUGAAGAGUUUGGUCAAAGAAGAAAUGAUGUAAAAUGGAGCCGACAUAAGACUAAAGAGGCAUGUCCCUGUGGAAUAUACCCGGAAACAACUUUGAUUCGAAGUUUUCCAAUCAUCACAGUGAAACAUCACAGUGAAGUGGGCCACAUGGUCAAGUACAUGGUUCACGGUGUCUAGAAGAUGAAAGGGAUCAGGAGCUACAAGUGAGCCGGGGGAGAAAACUUCAAACAGAUCCAGAACUGAGAAAAUACUGCAAAUAAUACUUUAAGCAUCAUUCUAACCCAGUAGUUUUCAUCUGGGGGUUAUUUUGCCCCCAAGGUGAAGGUUACUGAUGUCUGGAGACAUUUUAGCUGUCAUAGCUGCAGAAAGAUUGAGGGGCUUGCUACUGACAUCUAGAGAGUGGAGGCUGGGGGUGCCACUAAGCAUCCUAUAAUGCACACAGGACAGCCCCUAAACACAGAAUGGUUUGACCCAGAAUGUCGACAGAACCCCAGUGAAGAAAUCCUGACCUGCCGGGCAU